rnacentral:lncRNA from 1 species
CUUUAUUGAGGUGUAAUCAAUAUAGGAAAACUGCACAUAUUUAAUGUAUACAAGUUGAUAAAUUUGGACAUAUAUGCAUAUACCCAUGAAACUAUCACCACAAGAAGCGAGUCAUAGCUGCAUAUGGCUAUAGAUGUGAAAUGACAGGGGAGUGCUGAAGAAACUAUUGCUUAUAAACAGAAGGGACUUGCCUUGUCUCAGAUGAGACUUUGGACUUAGACUUUUGGGUAAUGCUGCAAUGAGCUAAGACCUGCGCUGAUGGAAAGAUGCAGAUAAGAAACGUGGGAAGCCACAAGAAAGCCAAGUAGCCUGGGAAAAAGUGGUCAUUGAGCCAUGAGAAAAAAUUAACAUUUGAUCCUGUUGGUGCCACCUGAAGGCAGAGAUGGCUGAGGACCCCCGAGUAAUGUAUGAAUGAAAGACUUAAGAAUACAUCUGACCCAGGCAGCCUGGGUUCAACUCUCCAUGUGAGAAUACCAAGCUUGGCUGGGCACAGUGCCUCACAUCUGUAAUCCCAACACUUUGAGAGGCUGCGGCAGGAAGAUUACUUGAAGCCAAGAGCUGGCGAACAACCUGGGCAACAAAGUGAGACUUCAUCUCUACAAUUUUUUUUUUAAUUAGCCGGAUGCAGUGGUGCACACCUGUAGUCUCAGCUUCUCAGGAGGCUGAAGUAGGAUUGCUUGAGCCUGUGAGCCCAGAAGUUUGAGACGGCAGUGAGUUACGAUCACACCACUGCAUUAGAGCCUGAAUGGCAGAGUGAGAGCCUAUCUCUAAACUAAGUAAACAAAUACAGACAUACAUACAUAAAGUAAGAAUUAUUAUAAUAACAAGAAUACAAGCAGUCUGCAAUUUGUGUUUAUGGUGCUAACUGCAACUCAUGUAUGUGGUACCCUCAUUUUUCACAAUAUCAUGGUAACUAAAUAACUGUGCAAAUUAAGAGUACAGUUCUUAUGUGUAUGUUUUAUAGUUAAUACAUACUGUUCAAAAAAAGAACUACCUGUACUAAAUAAGAAUAAUAUAGGUGGACUUGUCUACUGCCUAAUAAAACACAUGAUAAAGCACUACAAAUGAAAGACAAUAGUUCUUACAAGCAAAUAGGGAAUGCAGAGGAAAAAUAAUAGAGGGGCAUCUCAGUCAAGAUUCAAAUUUAGUUUAUAAUAAAUACAAAACUUUUCUCUCAAUUUCUGGAUCUGGAUUAUAU